rnacentral:rRNA from 1 species
AUGGGAAAUUUAAAAAUCACUGGGAAACAAUCUCGUACUAGGAUAAAGUGGGUCUCCGAGCUGAUCGAUCCAGUGACAAGGACAUGGAAUGAGGAACUGAUUAGGAAAAUAUUACUACCUCAUGAUGUUGACGAAGUGCUAAAAAUUCGCCUCCCACAGUCUACCUCUGAGGAUUUUAUAGCAUGGCACUUUGAACGCUCAGGUGUUUUUUCGGUUCGCAGUGCGUACAGGCUAGCCGUUAAUGACAAGGAGGCGAAUCGAGAUUUGGGACAAAGCAGUACGGCGCCAACUGGAGAAAGAAAGAUUUGGAGCGUGCUUUGGAAAGCAAAUGUUCCUCCCAAGAUUAGAAAUUUUGGGUGGCGUUUGGCGACGGAGUCAGUCGGAGUUCAGACAAGUAGACAUAAGAGAGGGUUGGAGCUAUUCCCUACAUGCUCUAUCUGUGGGAUGGAACCAGAAGAUGGAUAUCACACAGUCAUGAGAUGCACAAAAGCUAAAGCCCUACGUGACACCAUGCGUGAGGUCUGGACCCUUCCCCGGGACACUGAUCUUACAUGUACGGGGCGUGAGUGGGUCCUUCUAACUCUUGAUAAGGCGAAUGAGGAGGAGCGUACACACCUCCUCUUCAUCUGGUGGCGAGCAUGGCACCUUAGAAAUAACAUUAUAUUUGGUGACGGGAAAGAUACA